AGGCCUUCCGUAGGUGAACCUGCGGAAGGAUAUUAU
rnacentral:rRNA from 1 species